rnacentral:rRNA from 1 species
CACGAACGCUGGCGGCAGGCUUAACACAUGCAAGUCGAGCGCCCCGCAAGGGGAGCGGCAGACGGGUGAGUAACGCGUGGGAAUCUACCCAUCUCUACGGAAUAACGCAUGGAAACGUGUGCUAAUACCGUAUACGUCCUUCGGGAGAAAGAUUUAUCGGAGAUGGAUGAGCCCGCGUUGGAUUAGCUAGUUGGUGAGGUAAAGGCUCACCAAGGCGACGAUCCGUAGCUGGUCUGAGAGGAUGAUCAGCCACACUGGGACUGAGACACGGCCCAGACUCCUACGGGAGGCAGCAGUGGGGAAUAUUGGACAAUGGGCGAAAGCCUGAUCCAGCAAUGCCACGUGAGUGAUGAAGGCCUUAGGGUUGUAAAGCUCUUUUACCCGGGAUGAUAAUGACAGUACCGGGAGAAUAAGCCCCGGCUAACUCCGUGCCAGCCGCCGCGGUAAUAC